rnacentral:rRNA from 1 species
GACGAACGCUGGCGGCGUGCUUAACACAUGCAAGUCGAACGGAAAGGCCCUGCUUUUGUGGGGUGCUCGAGUGGCGAACGGGUGAGUAACACGUGAGUAACCUGCCCUGGACUUUGGGAUAACUUCAGGAAACUGGGGCUAAUACCGGAUAGGAGCUCCUGCUGCAUGGUGGGGGUUGGAACGUUUGGGCGGUUGGGGAUGGAGUCGGGGCUUAUUAGCUUGGUGGUGGGGUAGUGGCUUACCAAGGCGUUGACGGGUAGCCGGCCUGAGAGGGUGACCGGCCACAUUGUGACGGAGAUACGGCCCAGACGCCUACGGGAGGCAGGAGUGGGUAAUAUUGCACAAUGGGCGGAAGCCUGAUGCAGCAACGCCGCGUGCGGGAUGACGGCCUUCGGGUGGUAAACCGCUUUCGCCUGUGACGAAGCGUGAGGGACUGUAAUGGGGAAAGAAGCACCGGCUAACUACGU